CUCGGAGAAGCCCGGUCUCCGGGUAAGAUGGCAGCGGACGGACAGUGCUCGCUCCCCGCUUCAUGGCGGCCAGUGUCCCUCACCCACGUCGAAUAUCCUGCAGGUGAUCUCUCUGGCCACCUCCUUGCCUACCUGAGCCUCAGCCCUGUGUUUGUCAUCGUCGGUUUUGUGACCCUCAUCAUAUUCAAGCGGGAGCUGCACACGAUCUCAUUCCUCGGGGGCCUGGCACUGAACGAGGGGGUCAACUGGCUGAUUAAACACGUCAUCCAGGAGCCGCGGCCCUGUGGAGGCCCCCACAUGGCAGUGGGCACCAAGUACGGGAUGCCCUCCAGCCAUUCGCAGUUUAUGUGGUUCUUCUCCGUCUAUUCCUUCCUUUUCCUGUACUUACGAAUGCACCAAACAAACAACGCCAGGUUCCUGGACUUGCUGUGGAGGCACGUGCUCUCCCUGGGUCUCCUCACCGCGGCCUUUCUAGUCUCCUACAGCAGGGUCUACCUGCUGUACCACACCUGGAGCCAGGUGCUCUAUGGGGGCAUCGCCGGAAGCCUCAUGGCCAUCGCCUGGUUUGUCUUCACCCAGGAGGUCCUCACACCGCUGUUCCCCAGGAUAGCAGCCUGGCCUAUCUCUGAGUUCUUCCUAAUUCGAGACACGAGCCUCAUUCCCAACGUACUCUGGUUUGAGUACACAGUAACCCGAGCAGAAGCCAGAUGAGGAAACUGAGGCUCAGAGAGGAGAGGAGGAGUCACUUGACUGAGAACUUACAGAUGGAACAGACAACGCAAGCUGGGAACGAAACUGCAGUGACCAGUGAGUGUGGCUGGGUCCAGCCUACAGAUCUGGCCUGCACGAUGCCUUGCAGGAUGGACGGAAUGACAGAGGGACAAAGCAGAGACCUCUACAGACCCAAGUCACCAAGUGGAGCCUUUUUUUUUCUUAUUUUAAUUUUAAUGAACAAGGUGGACCAAAGGGCCAAGCCAGCCCCUCCACCAGGACCCUGGAGGGCCUGCUGCCAGGGGGCCACAUGGCCAGAGAGCCUCGCUGUGCUGCUGCCAGCCCCCGGUCGGGCGGAAAGUGCCCUUGCUGUGGGCGCCAGGGUGUGGGGUACAGGAAGAGGGCUUGCACCUCUGGUCUUGGGGCCAGGAAAUCCAGGAAGCGUGAAAAAUACUAUUUAUUUCUUGGUUUUGUCAAAGGCACACGGGAUUUUGGAGAUGGGGCUGGAAGAGCCUGCUCGGCAGUGGCUGCCCUGCGUACAGAGGGGCCCAGGUCAGCUUCCCAGGCCCUUUGCCCUGAGCCCAGGGGCAGGCUGCCUCUCCCUGGGCCUGAGAGGUGGCCUGGGGGCCCAGGAGGAUGGGAGCACCCCUAUGCCCUCCCUGCCACCAUUGUCAUUCCAGAACCUCGUUCAGUGUUUCCUUGUCUGGGGCCAGGGCCCAGAGAGCACGCAUCUGGCGGCUGCUAUCACUGCGUUCUACCCCAUAUCAACCCUACACCAUAAGGGCUUUUUCUGGUCCCCUGUCCCCAAGACAAUGGUCCUUUUCUGACAAAAGAGCCUGCACAUGUGGGUGAGCACACCCCGGCUGUUUACAGCCCUUCCGUCCUGCCAUCCGGAGCAGUUAGUCUUCAUCUCCAGUCGAACAAGAUGUGAAGGAACCGGGAGCCGCUGAGCACAGUGGGGCAGUGGGUGCCUGACGUCCCCACACUUCCCCUCCCUCUGGAUGCUCUGAACAUUCCUCGUCCUUCCUGACCCCCCUCCAAGACGCUGGGAGCCUGCUCGGGGUCACCCUUGAGCCCGGGAGGCAGGCUCAGAUCCCCGCUGUCCAGCUCGGAAGACGCCUCUUCCUUCCUCAAGGGAGCUGGUCUCUCAGUUGCUCUGAAAUGGAGUUGUGGAGAGGAGAUGCUUCGAGACUCUUGCAAGUUUCUCGAACUGAACCAGGCUGCUUGGGUCCUGUGUUUGAAUCCCUCUCCUGCCCCGCCUUUUUCUUUAUGGAGGUUCCUAAUCUGCUGCUGAAGCACAAUAUUUUGGUGCUUUCUUUUCUCAUUUGUUGAAGACAGUGUCCAAAAGCCAUUCCAGAUGCCAGGACCAGGGGCCUAUUUCUGGGGAAGCUUGGUCAGUCCCCACAUUUUCCUCCCCUUCCCUUCUUAUUUUUAUUUUUUACUUUUUGCCUGAGACAAGCCAGGUGUGAGGUGAUUUAAGAAAAAUCAAUGAAAUUGUUUACUAUUGUUUUAAAAUAAAAUCUUGAACUCUG